rnacentral:rRNA from 1 species
CCUACGGGUGGCAGCAGUGGGGAAUAUUGCACAAUGGGGGAAACCCUGAUGUAGCGACGCCGCGUGAGCGAGGAAGUACUUCGGUAUGUAAAGCCCUAUCAGCAGGGACGAAAAAAGACGGUACCUGACUAAGAAGCCCCGGCUAACUACGUGACAGCAGCCGCGGUAAUACGUAGGGGGCAAGCGUUAUACGGAUUUACUGGGUGUAAAGGGAGCGUAGACGGCCAGGCAAGCCAGAAGUAAAGGGCAGGGCUCAACCCUGUACAUGCCGUUGAAACUGUGGUGCUUGAGUGCAGGAGAGGUAAGUGGAAUUCGUGGUGUAGCGGUGAAAUGCGUAGAUAUUAGGAGGAACACCAGUGGCGAAGGCGGCUUACUGGCCUGUAACUGACGUUGAGGCUCGAAAGCGUGGGUAGCGAACAGGAUUAGAUACCCCGGUAGUC